GUCCUCGUAGCUCAACUGGUAGAGCACUCGCUGUACGAAAGCGAGGGUGGUGACCGCGCGUGGGUGCGAAUCCCGCUGAGGCCA
rnacentral:tRNA from 1 species